AACGAACGCUGGCGGCAGGCCUAACACAUGCAAGUCGAACGAGAUCUUCGGAUCUAGUGGCGGACGGGUGAGUAACGCGUGGGAACGUGCCCUUCUCUACGGAAUAGUCCUGGGAAACUGGGUUUAAUACCGUAUACGCCUCGGGAAGAAUUCGGGAAGGAUCGCCGCGUGAUAGUAGUGUGGGUAUGCUACCAAGCCGACGAUCCAUAGCUGGUUUGAGAGGAUGAUCAGCCACACUGGGACUGAGACACGGCCCAGACUCCUACGGGAGGCAGCAGUGGGGAAUCUUAGACAAUGGGGGCAACCCUGAUCUAGCCAUGCCGCGUGAGUGACGAAGGCCCUAGGGUCGUAAAGCUCUUUCGCCAGGGAUGAUAAUGACAGUACCUGGUAAAGAA
rnacentral:rRNA from 1 species